AUUGAACGCUGGCGGCAGGCCUAACACAUGCAAGUCGAACGGUAACAGGAAGCAGCUUGCUGCUUUGCUGACGAGUGGCGGACGGGUGAGUAAUGUCUGGGAAACUGCCUGAUGGAGGGGGAUAACUACUGGAAACGGUAGCUAAUACCGCAUAACGUCGCAAGACCAAAGAGGGGGACCUUCGGGCCUCUUGCCAUCGGAUGUGCCCAGAUGGGAUUAGCUAGUAGGUGGGGUAAAGGCUCACCUAGGCGACGAUCCCUAGCUGGUCUGAGAGGAUGACCAGCCACACUGGAACUGAGACACGGUCCAGACUCCUACGGGAGGCAGCAGUGGGGAAUAUUGCACAAUGGGCGCAAGCCUGAUGCAGCCAUGCCGCGUGUAUGAAGAAGGCCUUCGGGUUGUAAAGUACUUUCAGCGGGGAGGAAGGGAGUAAAGUUAAUACCUUUGCUCAUUGACGUUACCCGCAGAAGAAGCACCGGCUAACUCCGUGCCAGCAGCCGCGGUAAUACGGAGGGUGCAAGCGUUAAUCGGAAUUACUGGGCGUAAAGCGCACGCAGGCGGUUUGUUAAGUCAGAUGUGAAAUCCCCGGGCUCAACCUGGGAACUGCAUCUGAUACUGGCAAGCUUGAGUCUCGUAGAGGGGGGGUAGAAUUCCAGGUGUAGCGGUGAAAUGCGUAGAGAUCUGGAGGAAUACCGGUGGCGAAGGCGGCCCCCUGGACGAGACUGACGCUCAGUGCGAAAGCGUGGGGAGCAAACAGGAUUAUAUACCUAGUAGUCCAGGGCGAAUCCACAUUGGGCUGCAGCCCGGGGAUCCACUAUUCUAAACGGCGCACAGGGUAAAGGGCUGGACGUGUGAGAAACGAGUACAUGGUACCGUUUCUUGGCGAAAAUUUAACACAUUGAAGGUGUAAG
rnacentral:rRNA from 1 species